rnacentral:rRNA from 1 species
AUUGAACGCUGGCGGCAUGCCUUACACAUGCAAGUCGAACGGCAGCACGGGAGCAAUCCUGGUGGCGAGUGGCGAACGGGUGAGUAAUAUAUCGGAACGUGCCCAGUCGUGGGGAUAACGUAGCGAAAGCUACGCUAAUACCGCAUACGAUCUAUGGAUGAAAGCGGGGGAUCGCAAGACCUCGCGCGAUUGGAGCGGCCGAUAUCAGAUUAGGUAGUUGGUGAGGUAAAGGCGUCACCAAGCCGACGAUCUGUAGCUGGUCUGAGAGGACGACCAGCCACACUGGGACUGAGACACGGCCCAGACUCCUACGGGAGGCAGCAGUGGGGAAUUUUGGACAAUGGGCGCAAGCCUGAUCCAGCAAUGCCGCGUGCGGGA